AUUGAACGCUGGCGGCAUGCUUUACACAUGCAAGUCGAACGGCAGCACGGGUGCUUGCACCUGGUGGCGAGUGGCGGACGGGUGAGUAAUACAUCGGAACGUGUCCAGAAGAGGGGGAUAACGCAUCGAAAGAUGUGCUAAUACCGCAUAUGCUCUGAGGAGGAAAGUGGGGGAUCGAAAGACCUUACGCUUUUGGAGCGGCCGAUGUCUGAUUAGCUAGUUGGUGGGGUAAGGGCCUACCAAGGCGACGAUCAGUAGUUGGUCUGAGAGGACGACCAGCCACACUGGGACUGAGACACGGCCCAGACUCCUACGGGAGGCAGCAGUGGGGAAUUUUGGACAAUGGGCGCAAGCCUGAUCCAGCAAUGCCGCGUGAGUGAAGAAGGCCUCGGUGUAACGACUUUGUC
rnacentral:rRNA from 1 species